rnacentral:rRNA from 1 species
GAAUUUUGGGCAAUGGGGGCAACCCUGACCCAGCAACGCCGCGUGAGGGAUGAAGGCCUUCGGGUCGUAAACCUCUGUCGGGAGGGAAGAACGGCGCAGGGUGAACAAUCCUGCGGUCUGACGGUACCUCCAAAGGAAGCGCCGGCUAACGCCGUGCCCGCAGCCGCGGUAAUACGGAGGGCGCAAGCGUUGUUCGGAAUCAUUGGGCGUAAAGCGCGUGUAGGCGGCCAGGUAAGUCGGGUGUGAAAGCCCGGGGCCCAACCCCGGAAUUGCAUUCGAAACUGCCUGGCUAGAGUCUCGGAGAGGAAGGCGGAAUUCCGGGUGUAGAGGUGAAAUUCGUAGAUAUCCGGAGGAACACCAGCGGCGAAGGCGGCCUUCUGGACGAUGACUGACGCCGAGACGCGAAAGCGUGGGGAGCAAACAGG